GACAGAGGGCGCAAGCGUUGUUCGGAAUUACUGGGCGUAAAGCGUGCGCAGGCGGUUUUGUAAGUCCGUCGUGAAAGCCCCGGGCUCAACCUGGGAAUUGCGAUGGAGACUGCAAGGCUUGAAUCUGGCAGAGGGGGGUAGAAUUCCACGUGUAGCAGUGAAAUGCGUAGAGAUGUGGAGGAACACCGAUGGCGAAGGCAGCCCCCUGGGUCAAGAUUGACGCUCAUGCACGAAAGCGUGGGGAGCAAACAGG
rnacentral:rRNA from 1 species